rnacentral:rRNA from 1 species
GCCUACGGCCAUACCACGUUGAACACACCGGUUCUCGUCCGAUCACCGAAGUUAAGCAACGUCGGGCCCGGUUAGUACUUGGAUGGGUGACCGCCUGGGAACAUCGGGUGCUGUAGGCG